rnacentral:ncRNA from 1 species
GUAGCAUAAGUGGGAGAUGGCAACAUCGCCGGUGAAAUACCACUACUUUCAUCGUUUCCUUACUUACUCGGUUGGGCGGAGCGCGUGCCCCGAGGGCUUCGUGCCCCGGCGGUCACGGUGUUCUAGAGCCAAGCGUGUCAGAGUGGCGUGAGGCCUCGGCCGAUCGCCGAUUAUACUCCCGCGUGAUCCGAUUCGAGGACACUGCCAGGCGGG